rnacentral:rRNA from 1 species
UGCCAGCCGCCGCGGUAACACGGGGGGCGCAAGCGUUAUUCGGAAUUAUUGGGCGUAAAGAGCAUGUAGGCGGACUAUUAAGUCUGAUGUGAAAGCCCGGGGCUCAACCCCGGAAGUGCAUUGGAUACUGGUAGUCUUGAGUAUGGGAGAGGAAAGUGGAAUUCCGAGUGUAGGAGUGAAAUCCGUAGAUAUUCGGAGGAACACCAGUGGCGAAGGCGGCUUUCUGGACCAAUACUGACGCUGAGAUGCGAAAGCGUGGGGAGCGAACAGGAUUAGCUA